rnacentral:rRNA from 1 species
CGGCGGGCCUGUCCCGUCUCCCCGUUCCCCGUCCCCACGAACAAAACCCCGGCGCAAGAUGCGCCAAGGAAUCGCAACGAGAAAAGGAACGUGCCCCCGUUGYGCGCCGGGAACGGAAUGCGCACGGGAGGCCUCGUAUUCUUUGAAAACAAAACGACUCUCGGCAACGGAUAUCUCGGCUCUCGCAUCGAUGAAGAACGUAGCGAAAUGCGAUACUUGGUGUGAAUUGCAGAAUCCCGUGAACCAUCGAGUCUUUGAACGCAAGUUGCGCCCGAAGCCUUCGGGCCGAGGGCACGUCUGCCUGGGUGUCAUGCACCGUCGCCCCCAUCCCCNCUCCCCYGAGGGGAGUGGGGAAGCGCGGGGCGGACAAUGGCCUCCCGUGCGCUCUCGCUCGCGGUUGGCCUAAAUCCGAGUUGUUGGCGGCGAGCGCCACGGCAAGCGGUGGUUGGAAAGACCCUCUGAAGUGUCG